UCAGCCGGGGGGGGGGGCCUCGGUUCCGGUUCCUCGUCCUGUGACAUCAGCCCAGCCGCGUCUUAGGAGACAAUUAACCUAAGGAAAAGUUUCUGUGUGGGGAACACGUACCUCCGCCCACUGGAUUAACCGCGUGGGGCUGAACUUGUCAGGACGAGAAGCAUUGGGUUUCAAACCCGGUAACAAAGACAGAAACAGAUUCGCACGUCAGCGAAGACAAAGCCAGAUGCUUUCGCAGAUCAAACCCUGCAGACAGGAGGAAGUUUUCUCUUGGGGAUGCAUUUUAUGCGCUGUUAUAUUACCUUCUACAUCACGGCUGACGUCUCGGGGUUCCAUAGAUCAGGAUCCUGACCUACCCUGGUGCCGCCCUGUAUGGCCCCGUGUGACGUGAUCGCCCCUUCUCUUGGAAUUUUCUACUGAAGGCCAUGGCUUGUUAAGAAAAGUCAUCCAAGUAUGAAGCAGAGAAUGGAGAACAGCUUUCAGCAAAGCGUUAACAUUACGACAACUAGACCUUCCUGGAGGAAUGUCUCUUGGACUUGUCAGUGGGCUGUAAGUUGCAAGGAAAUUUAAUUUUCCGUUUCCCUUUGUUUUCCGCGUCAUUUUUGUUGGGAAAAAGAAAGGUGGGGGGAGUGCGUCCAGAGCUCUCAAUUUUCCCUUGCACGUUAUCUGUUUGGUCUCAUCUGGUGUGGCAUGAGGUCCCUUGAAAUCGCUGUUCAAAUAUCUUUCUCUAAAUUAUUUUGUAGAGCUGCGUUUUGUGUAAGGGAUAGGGAAAGGCCUUUCGAAGAAACAGAUUCACUCUAAAUCCGUAUCAAAGACCAAUGUAAUCAGAGGUUGUGACUAGAGGGCUCUUAGGGCAACCAGAGAUAAGCACUGGAAAAUUGUUUAUAAAUAAGAUAUUGACCAGAGGAGUGAGUAGAAAGUUGGAUAUUGGCCUGGGAAAAAAGAAAAGGGCAAUCCCUACACAGAAAAGCACAGGCGGGCGACUGGCCAACGGAGACCCAUGGAAAUCAGACUCAGAUAUGGAAUACUGAGGUCGGGGGUGGGGGGGGAGGACACUCCUUCUACGGCUUUCUUGCAUCUGCUCCCAGCCCAUGGAAGGAAGGGCUUAGGGACUAGGAGGUGGAGAGAGGAGAGAGGGCCAGCUGACUCUCUGAAAGCAACCAAAGUGCUGCCUACAAAGGGACACAGGGAUUUGACACUGCGUGACUUAGGGGAACUCUAGCAGCUAGAAAUCUCUCUCUCUCUCUCUCUCCCUCUUUUUUAAAUGUUUAUUAUUUAUUUUUUAGAGAGCGAGAUCAUGAGCGGGGUUGGGGCAGAGGA